CUGUGUCAGUGAGAUCACCUCCACCUCGAACUCAAGAGCAGCAUCACCUGGGACGAAUCAAGAACACAGUCAACGUUUUGUCACAUCAGUUGAAAGUGCAGAGAGGGACAGGAAACAUGUGGAGUCAGAGAGAGAGAGGUAUGACCUGCAACAAAGGUUCACAUCUGGAACCAAACUGUGGACUCUGCAGCUCAACAACAAGAGGAUCCCGAGAUAGUGAUGAGUCGAUCACCUUUCCAUCCAUCAGUUUACCCUGGUCAGUAAAAAAAAAAAACAAGAGGGUGACUCUGUAACAUCUGUUUAGGGUUACAGAUGAAAAAUAGCCUCUUGGCUAACACUGGUGCAUUUGCAGCAAUGUUCAUUAAUAUGCAUUGUCUCUGUUAAAUAAACCAAUAAAUGAACAUAGAAUAAACAAAGCAGUAAUAGUCUUACAUGUAAUUUGUUUAACCAAACGACCUGAAUCAUUAAGGGUUAAUUAUCAAUUACAAAGCUCUCUGGGCCUCAUCAGACUCUUAAUUGAUACUUUAUUAGGGAGAGGUGCACUGAGAAGGACAUGCAGUCGUCCAAUAUGUUAAAAAUAAGAACCAAAGAAACAAAAAAAGUUCCAGCAACCGUAGCAGUACAGCAUACUGUACGUUUUCAGCCUCACGUGCCUAAUAGAAGUGAAAUAGUUCACCAUUUUAUUAUUUUAGUUAUAAUAGUGAUAUUGUAACUGUAUAAUCCACUUCAUGUAGUCUCUAUGUAAACCUUUUCUUGAUUACACUUGUAUAUUUUCAGUAUGGACCCCAAAAAAAGUAGUUCAACUGAAAUUAAACAAUAAUCAAAAAUAUACACAGCAUAUCUCACUACUCAUGUUCUUUUGUUCACACUGUAUGCGGUGUAUGACAUGUUUGUUGUGCCUUACAGCUGAAAUUCAAAUCAUAAAACUGAGUUUUUAAGUUCCUGCAGAUCAACAUGUGUGAGAGCUGGAAAAAAAAACCUCGAGCCUCCAGUGUUCAUGGGUGAACUGGUUGUGCUUCUCCCCCAGUGACAGGGCUGGUAUUGCUGACGUGUUGCACCGCCCCAUCACUCCAUAGUAAAAAAGCAGUAGCGAUCCACGAGAUAAAGCUAUAGAAACUGAAAACCACAAUCUGUCCCGUGAUUGCUCAUCAGCGUGACAUCUGAACCAGCUGUUUGUUAUUCGGAGUCAGUAAAAUGCACAAACACAGCGGUGCCCACAUGGUUCAUACAGACGUUGCCACAUAGACAACAACUGCGUUCGUCAUCAGCUGGGCCGGUUUCACUUACAAUCGUUGUAAUAAUGCACACAUAACUGUCUGGAUACGUUUCACCAGACACACAAUGGACAAUAAAUAAACGUGUUGUGUCUUUG